GGAGAGAUGCCAGAGUGGACGAAUGGGGCGGUCUCGAAAACCGUUGUUCCCGCAAGGGGACCCUGGGUUCGAAUCCCAGUCUCUCCGCCA
rnacentral:tRNA from 1 species